UACGAGGGGGGCGAGCGUUGUUCGGAAUUAUUGGGCGUAAAGGGUGCGUAGGCGGUUUGGUAAGUCUUGUGUGAAAUCUACAGGCUCAACUUGUAGUCUGCACGAGAAACUGCCGGGCUUGAGUAUGGGAGAGGUGAGUGGAAUUCCUGGUGUAGCGGUGAAAUUCGUAGAUAUCGGGAGGAACACCAGUGGCGAAGGCGGCGACCUGGGCAGAUACUGACACUGAGGUGCGAAAGCGUGGGGAGCAAACAGG
rnacentral:rRNA from 1 species